AAGCUGAAUUUCUUGUCUUGUAACGACUGAGCAGGCUGACUGACACAAAAUUACUGUGCUUUCGAAGAUGGGAGAACAUUUUCAUGACUGACAUAUCGAGGCGAGAUGAGACGGCUCCAUUCAAUAAAUUUCGAUGCUCGCUGAGGCGCGUAUUAACACAUCGACCAGUCUGGCCCAUGUACAUGUGGACGCAAGGAAGAUCGAUUUGCGGUUAACUCCUACACAAUUUACAAAACAAUUGGCAUGCCU
rnacentral:lncRNA from 1 species